CCUGCCAGGUUUCUCUACCUAUGAAAUUCUCCAGGCCAGAAUACUGGAGUGGGUAGCCAUUCCCUUCUCCAGGGGAUCUUCCCAACCCAGGGAUUGAACCUGGGCCUCCUGCAUUGCACGCAGAGUUUUUAUCGUCUGAACCACACCAUGGAAUAGUCCUUCCUAAAAUUUCCAGAUGC